rnacentral:rRNA from 1 species
AUGCCUGCGGUGCAGAGGAUGGAAGAUGGGUUGAGGUCCGAGACGUCCAGACUUAAAGCUAAAGAGAAGAAGGGGGAGGAGGAGAAGAGGAAGGGGAAGGAGGAUGGGAAUGAGGACAAUCAUGUCUGUCUUGGGUCUGGAUUCUUUCGUUGGAAUGCAGAGCCAGCCAGGGAUGAUGCAUCGUCAGCGCUGAAGCAACAACUGCUUAUGCCCCAACAGUCAAAAUUAAUGCCCACUCCAUCGGACACACCCAAUCCUAUAAUACCUGAGAUUACAGCAAUGACUACGAGGACUUCCACGCUCAAGGGCAAGGUAUAUCAUUUUGAGUCUUGUUUGAUGCCUCUAAGGUCUGAAAGUCCAAAGACUUAUGGCAUAUGUUCUUUUCCCAGCCUUGGUCAGAUCACUUCUGAAAGCAAAGAUCCUGAGAUGGUGAAAAUUGGCCUCCGCGUCCUUACAAGAUCGAGCGAGAACUUGGAUGAGAGGAGGUUAUAUUCAACCAUUCAUGAAAUACUGAAAGCUGUAGUUGCUAAAUACAAUGCCAGUCAGCUUCUAACACAGCAAGAGCGCGUGAGGUGGGAGAUUAGAAAGAUACUGACAGAUCAGGCACAGAACUUUGGAAUUGCCAUUGAUGGUGUCUCCAUUGUAAGCCUGAGCUUUGAAAAGGUGUUUACUCAGGACAUUCAAGAGAAAGAGGUGACUACACAAGAAGAUGAGCAAGGUAACAGGACUACACAAGAAGCUGGGCAAGAUAACAGGAGUGCAAUGAUCAGGUCACAGGAGGACGAUCAGAUCUGGAACAAGAGGCAGAUUGGCUACAUAUUUGAUCUAGGUACUGCGCUGGGCAUCAUAUUUUUGAUUCGACCCUGGUUGCCUAGUGGCUAUGAUCGUUGGAUAUUGGCUGCGUUUGCUGCCGUUUGGGGGGCGGGCAGCGUGGGCUUGCCCAUCGGAAUGUUUGGCACCUCCAGGGUUGAAAAAAAUUGCAGUCGACAUGUAGGGCGAUUCAUCUCUCUUUCCUUCUCACUGCUGGUCCUCUAUGCCAUCUACAUCCUCACACUAAAUGUCUCCGGCACUCCAUCAACUCCAUCUGUGUCGUCAUUUGGAAUCACCAACGGUGAUGGUGAUGGUGAUGGUGAUGCUGACUGGUGGACAACUGCUGGCUUCAUUGUGAUUGCGGCUCUAGUGGCAUUUGGACACCUAUGUUCCUGGAUAAGAGUGGUGACAGGGACAUGUUGCCUUAGAAUGUUGACAACAGUCUGGUGUAACCCUGGCCAUGUCAGCUCUCUUUUUCCGAGCCCUGAGACGGGAAAGCAAGAAGUGUUUGUCGAUGCUCGCUGGUUAUGA